GCGGGCCCUCGCGGCGACGCGGCGGUUGUGAACCCGGUCAGGUCCGGAAGGAAGCAGCCGCAGCAGCCGUUUCGGGCGCCGCGCCCGGGUCUCCCGA
rnacentral:SRP_RNA from 2 species